CGGAGCCCUUCUUCCUGCUUCCCUGGGGAGCUCUGGCCUUGGUGGCCCUGAGCAAGUCAUUGCACCUCCUUGAACUGCUGGUUCUCCUCCGCAAGGUUGUUGCCACUUCUUAGGAUUGCUGUGAGAAUAAAACAGAACGAGAAGUGUGGAAUCUCUAAAAGGGAACCUCACCGGAGCCUCUGGAAGAGCCCACAGAUGCCCGGGAGGUUUUCCUGCACUGCAAUAAUGCGGCUCGUGGGGGCAUCGCUCUUGGCGGGUCUUCACCCGCUUCCCAGCCAGAACUCCAGGAUGACCAGAGGGAGAGAGAAAGGAGGAUCCAACGAGGGAAGGGAAAUCCUCGCCACGAAGAAGGGAGCAUGUCCUGGGGGAAUGCAUGCAAGUGAAGGAGUGGCAGGUAGAGAGGAUGGGAGUGAAGGGGUAAGAGAGAGAAAUACGGGAGUUUGAGUCCUGGGUGGAGAACUGUGGGGUAGCACAGGCUUCCUCCUCGAGGCAGAGGUCGCCGGAACCUCGGUGUUAGUGGGAAGGGCGUACUCUAGAGCUUGAAAACCCAGAAACACCCUUGCCCCCUCCACGUCUCUCCCUCCUUUGGAACUACCAGGGUCCACAGCAUCUGGGAAGGUGCCGCCCACAGAAGGGGGCAGGGGCGGGUGGCAUACGCAGAGUGGAGAAUGAGCCAGAACUGUCAAGGAAGGACAUGUACUGCCCACCUGGGUGCCCAGCAGUGUGUGGGCAAUGUUGGAGGCACACGCAGGCUGGGAACUAGGUCUCCAUCCUGGCCGCCAAGAGAAAAUUCAGGGGCAGUGCCUUUUCUUGUAUCAGGCCCUUGGCCAAGGGCAGCAACCAAAGAGGACUUCUUUGUCAUAUCUGCCCAGGUGUUUCUCACCAGAAAGGUAAGGGCAAACCUGGAAAUGGGUAUUGAAAUGAGAGCUACCUUUCUAGGGGUGGAGAGUGGGAACCGCCCUUAGCAAAAGAAUAAAGUGACUUGGGCCUCCCCGGUGGCUCCCGGGCCACUCCCCGGCCACCAGAGGAGGGUCCCACAUGGCGC